rnacentral:tRNA from 6 species
GGGCUAUAGCUCAGUUGGUAGAGCAACUCGUUUACACCGAGAAGGUCUA